UGGGCGUAAAGCGCGCGCAGGCGGUUCCUUAAGUCUGAUGUGAAAGCCCACGGCUCAACCGUGGAGGGUCAUUGGAAACUGGGGAACUUGAGUGCAGGAGAGGGGAGCGGAAUUCCACGUGUAGCGGUGAAAUGCGUAGAGAUGUGGAGGAACACCAGUGGCGAAGGCGGCUCUCUGGCCUGUAACUGACGCUGAGGCGCGAAAGCGUGGGGAGCGAACAGGAUUAGAUACCCUGGUAGUCCACGCCGUAAACGAUGAGUGCUAGGUGUUGGAGGGGUCAUACCCUUCAGUGCUGCAGCUAACGCAUUGAGCACUCCGCCUGGGGAGUACGGCCGCAAGGCUGAAACUCAAAGGAAUUGACGGGGGCCCGCACAAGCGGUGGAGCAUGUGGUUUAAUUCGAAGCAACGCGAAGAACCUUACCAGGCCUUGACAUCCUCUGACACCCCUGGAGACAGGGCUUCCCCUUCGGGGGCAGAGUGACAGGUGGUGCAUGGUUGUCGUCAGCUCGUGUCGUGAGAUGUUGGGUUAAGUCCCGCAACGAGCGCAACCCUCGUCCUUAGUUGCCAGCAUUCAGUUGGGCACUCUAAGGAGACUGCCGGUGAUCAAACCGGAGGAAGGUGGGGAUGACGUCAAAUCAUCAUGCCCCUUAUGGCCUGGGCUACACACGUGCUACAAUGGGCGGUACAAAGGGUUGCGAAACCGCGAGGUGGAGCUAAUCCCAAAAAGCCGCUCUCAGUUCGGAUUGCAGGCUGCAACU
rnacentral:rRNA from 1 species